rnacentral:rRNA from 1 species
CAAUAGCGUAUAUUAAAGUUGUUGCGGUUAAAAAGCUCGUAGUUGGAUUUCUGCUGAGGACGAUCGGUCCGCCCACUGGGUGAGUAUCUGGCUCGGCCUUGGCAUCUUCUUGGAGAACGUUGCUGCACUUGACUGUGUGGUGCGGUAUCCAGGACUUUUACUUUGAGGAAAUUAGAGUGUUUCAAGCAGGCGCACGCCUUGAAUACAUUAGCAUGGAAUAAUAAGAUAGGACCUUAGUUCUAUUUUGUUGGUUUCUAGAGCUGAGGUAAUGAUUAAUAGGGAUAGUUGGGGGCAUUCGUAUUUAACUGUCAGAGGUGAAAUUCUUGGAUUUGUUGAAGACGGACUACUGCGAAAGCAUUUGCCAAGGAUGUUUUCAUUGA